AGAGAAUCUGUGGUGUUACAUCAAAUUUUACAAAUCCUUGCACUUUCAGGAAUUUUGAUAGUGAAGAAAAACAUUGGGGACUAUGUAAUGUGAGUCUC
rfam:Hordeum vulgare subsp. vulgare, WGS project CAJW01000000 data, contig: morex_contig_75902